AGAGUUUGAUCCUGGCUCAGAACGAACGCUGGCGGCAGGUUUUAGGCAUGCAAGUCGAACGGGUGUAGCAAUACACUAGUGGCGAACGAGUGAGUAACGCGUGGGAAGCUACCCAUUACUGGGGAAUAACGUUUGGAAACGAACGCUAAUACCGCAUACUCCGGAAACGGGAAAGAUUUAUCGGUAGUGGAUGUGCCCGCGUUGGAUUAGCUUGUUGGUGGGGUAAUGGCCUACCAAGGCGAUGAUCCAUAGCUGGUCUUAGAGGACGAUCAGCCACGCUGGAACUGAGACACGGUCCAGACUCCUACGGGAGGCAGCAGCUAAGAAUAUUGGACAAUGGGGGAAACCCUGAUCCAGCCAUGCCGCGUGAAUGAAGAAGGCCUUCGGGUUGUAAAGUUCUUUUGGUUGUGAAGAUGAUGACAGUAGCAGCAGAAAAAGCACCGGCUAACUUCGUGCCAGCAGCCGCGGUAAUACGAAGGGUGCAAGCGUUGUUCGGAUUUACUGGGCGUAAAGCGUCCGUAGGUGGUUUGUUAAGUCAGAGGUGAAAUCCUGGGGCUCAACCCCAGAAUUGCCUUUGAUACUGGCAGGCUGGAGCAUGAUAGAGGAAAAUGGAAUAUCUGGUGUAGGGGUGAAAUCCGUAGAUAUCAGAUAGAACACCAAUGGCGAAGGCAGUUUUCUGGAUCAUUGCUGACACUGAGGGACGAAAGCGUGGGGAGCGAACAGGAUUAGAUACCCUGGUAGUCCACGCCCUAAACGAUGCAUGCUUGUUGUUGGUUUUCUUCGGAGAAUCAGUGACGUAGCUAACGCGUUAAGCAUGCCGCCUGGGGAGUACGAUCGCAAGAUUAAAACUUAAAGGAAUUGACGGGGACCCGCACAAGCGGUGGAGUAUGUUGUUUAAUUCGAUGCUACGCGAGAAACCUUACCGACCUUUGACAUUGUGAUCGCGAUUUCCAGAGAUGGAUUUCUUCAAUUCGGUUGGAUCAUGAACAGAUGCUGCAUGGCUGUCGU
rnacentral:rRNA from 1 species